UACGGAGGGUGCAAGCGUUAUCCGGAUUCACUGGGUUUAAAGGGAGCGUAGGUGGGAAUGUAAGUCAGUGGUGAAAUCUCCGUGCUUAACAUGGAAACUGCCAUUGAUACUAUGUUUCUUGAAUUUUCUGGAGGUCAGCGGAAUAUGUCAUGUAGCGGUGAAAUGCUUAGAUAUGACAUAGAACACCGAUUGCGAAGGCAGCUGGCUACAGGGAUAUUGACACUGAGGCUCGAAAGGCGUGGGGAUCAAACAGG
rnacentral:rRNA from 1 species